GAGUGAGGGCCCACCGGCCCGACCUCCAACCCUUUGUGAACCAGAACUUGUUGCUUCGGGGGCGACCCUGCCGUUCGCGGCGGCCGGCGCCCCCGGAGGAUCCCCAACACUGCAUCUUUGCGUCGGAGUCUUACACAAAUGAAACAAAACUUUCAACAACGGAUCUCUUGGUUCUGGCAUCGAUGAAGAACGCAGCGAAAUGCGAUAAGUAAUGUGAAUUGCAGAAUUCAGUGAAUCAUCGAAUCUUUGAACGCACAUUGCGCCCCGUGGUAUUCCGCGGGGCAUGCCUGUUCGAGCGUCAUUUCACCACUCGAGUCUGACUCGGUAUUGGGGGCCGCGACCCGUUCGCGCCCCUUAAAGUCUCCGGCUGGGCAGCCCGUCUCCGAGCGUUGUGGCAUCACAGUCUCGCUAGGGAGUCGCGGGCGGCAUCGGCCGUUAAACACCCCAUCAAAGGUUGACCUCGGAUCAGGUAGGGAUACCCGCUGAACUUAAGCAUAUCAAUAAGCGGAGGAAAAGAAACCAACAGGGAUUGCCCUAGUAACGGCGAGUGAAGCGGCAACAGCUCAAAUUUGAAAUCUGGCGCAAGCCCGAGUUGUAAUUUGCAGAGGAUGCUUCUGGGCAGCGGCCGUUCUAAGUCUCUUGGAACAGGGCGUCAUAGAGGGUGAGAAUCCCGUAUGUGACCGGCGCGCACCCUCCACGUAGCUCCUUCGACGAGUCGAGUUGUUUGGGAAUGCAGCUCUAAAUGGGAGGUAAAUUUCUUCUAAAGCUAAAUACCGGCCAGAGACCGAUAGCGCACAAGUAGAGUGAUCGAAAGAUGAAAAGCACUUUGGAAAGAGAGUUAAAAAGCACGUGAAAUUGUUGAAAGGGAAGCGCUUGCAACCAGACUUCGCGGCGGUGUUCCGCCGGUCUUUUGACCGGUCCACUCGCCGCCGCGAGGCCAACAUCGUCUGGGGCCGCCGGAUAAGACCAUGGGAAUGUGGCUCCCUCGGGAGUGUUAUAGCCCACGGUGAUGCGGCGCGUCUCGGGCGAGGUCCGCGCUCG
rnacentral:rRNA from 1 species